rnacentral:rRNA from 1 species
AUUGAACGCUGGCGGCAGGCUUAACACAUGCAAGUCGAACGAGUGGCGGACGGGUGAGUAAUGCUUGGGCAUCUGGCUUAUGGAGGGGGAUAACGACGGGAAACUGUCGCUAAUACCGCGUACCAUAGGAUGAGCCCAAGUGGGAUUAGGUAGUUGGUGGGGUAAUGGUCUACCAAGCCGACGACCUCUAGCUGGUCUGAGAGGAUGACCAGCCACGCCGGGCCUAGGACACGGCCCUGACUCCUACGGGAGGCAGCAGUGGGGAAUAUUGCGCAAUGGGGGCAAGCCUGAUCCAGACAUGCCGCGGGUCUGAAGAAGGCCUUCGGGUGGUAAAGGACUUUUGUCAGGGAAGCGGUACCUGAAGAAUAAGCACCGGCUAACUACGUGCCAGCCGCCGCGGUAAUAC